CGUCUAUAUACGUAUAGCAUAUCAAUAAGCGGAGGAAAAGAAACUAACUAGGAUUCCCUCAGUAACGGCGAGUGAAGCGGGAAGAGCUCAAAUUUGAAAUCUUCAAGGUUCUACCUUGACGAAUUGUAGUUUAAAGAAGUGUUUUCUGUUGGAGUUUUGGUAAAAGUUCUUUGGAAUAGGACAUCAUAGAGGGUGAGAAUCCCGUAUUUGACCAUUAUUUCCAACUUUGUGAUACACUUUCAAAGAGUCGGAUUGUUUGGGAAUGCAGUCCAAAAUGGGUGGUAAAUUUCAUCUAAAGCUAAAUAUUGGCGAGAGACCGAUAGCGAACAAGUACCGUGAGGGAAAGAUGAAAAGAACUUUGAAAAGAGAGUUAAACAGUACGUGAAAUUGUCAAAAGGGAAGCGUUUGACACCAGUGUUGUUUUCUCGAAAAUCAAUUAAAAGAUUGGAUUUUGUGUUGUAUUGACUUUAUCAGCUUUCUGCACUUUUUCCUGUCUUUUUUAAUGCACUUUUCGUUUAACAAGUCAACAUCAAUUUCUUUUGUUGUAAAAGGGUCAUUGGAAGGUGGCUUUCUUUUCGGAGAAAGUGUUUAUAGCCUUUGACUUCUGCAAUCGGAGAGAUUGAGGUCUGCAGCGUAGAUCCUUCGGGUUAGAUACAUUUGUGCUAAGUUAUAGCCUUUCAUAGACAACUUGUUGACUAUGAUCAGUCAUGUAGCUUACUCGCUUAUGUCAUUUUACCUACGCUUAGGAUGUUGACGAUCAGCUGAGCGCG
rnacentral:rRNA from 1 species